rnacentral:tRNA from 1 species
AGGUAGAAUGGCCGAGCGGUAGGCGGCAGGCUGUAGUCCUGUUAACAUAGGUUUAAUCCCUGUUUUUAC